GCAUAUCAAUAAGCGGAGGAAAAGAAACCAACAGGGAUUGCCCCAGUAACGGCGAGUGAAGCGGCAACAGCUCAAAUUUGAAAUCUGGCCUCGUGCCCGAGUUAGUAAAUUUGUAGAGGAUGCUUUUGGCGACGCGCCUUCCGAGUUCCCUGGAACGGGACGCCAUAGAGGGUGAGAGCCCCGUCCGGUCGUGCGCCUAGCCUCUGUAAAGCUCCUUCGACGAGUCGAGUAGUUUGGGAAUGCUGCUCUAAAUGGGAGGUAUACGUCUUCUAAAGCUAAAUACCGGCCAGAGACCGAUAGCGCACAAGUAGAGUGAUCGAAAGAUGAAAAGCACUUUGAAAAGAGGGUUAAAUAGUACGUGAAAUUGCUGAAAGGGAAGCGCUUAUGACCAGACUUGGGCGCGGCGGAUCAUCCGGCGUUCUCGCCGGUGCACUCCACCGCCCCAGGCCAGCAUCAGUUCGCGCCGGGGGAUAAAGGCUUCGGGAAUGUGGCUCUCUCGGGAGUGUUAUAGCCCGCUGCGUAAUACCCUGGCGCGGACUGAGGUCCGCGCUCUGCAAGGAUGCUGGCGUAAUGGUCAUCAGUGACCCGUCUUGAAACACGGACCAAGGAGUCGUCUUCGUAUGCGAGUGUUCGGGUGUCAAACCCCUACGCGGAAUGAAAGUGAACGUAGGAGAGAGCUUCGGCGCAUCUCCGACCGAUCCUGAUGUUCUCGGAUGGAUUUGAGUAAGAGCAUACGGGGCCGGACCCGAAAGAAGGUGAACUAUGCCUGUGUAGGGUGAAGCCAGAAGGAAACUUCUUGGUGGAGGCUCGCAGCGGUUCUGACGUGCAAAUCGAUCGUCAAACAUGGGCAUGGGGGCGAAAGACUAAUCGAACCUUCUAGUAGCUGGUUUCCGCCGAAGUUUCCCUCAGGAAA
rnacentral:rRNA from 1 species